UACAGGAAAUAGGAAUGGCAGUAUCCAAUUUGAUUUCAAGGUUUGAGAAGUUGCUCCACAGUGCUCUACAAUGCUCCACAAGCACAGCUGUUUCAAUACCAAGUAUUUUAAGAAUGGCUCUAUAAGAAUGGAAUUAAGAUAAUAUUUUCUUUUCAAUUUAUAUUUAUUACUUUUUAUAUGACCAUUAUGUUGCUGGGACAUAAAUACUUAUUGAGUUGUUUAAAAAGUAAGCUACUCAAUAAAUGUUUCUGUUAGGUAAUAUUUUAGGCUAAAUUUGCCUUUAAAACAUUAGGGCUCUGUAGAAAAUAAAGUCACAAAAUAAUGAAGGUUCCCAUCAACUGAAAAAUCAUAUGUCAUUCUACAAAUAUUUUGAUCCCAUUUGAUAUUACAUUCGUUAAUAAUUAUCUAUGUUGGCACAUAUAGACUGAAAGCAUUUUAGUUGCUGUAUAUAGUACUGUGUAUUAUUCCAUUUUGUGACCUAGCCACAAUUUAUCCUUUUCCUAUUGAUGCAUGUUUGUUUCCUCUCUUCUCUUUCUUUCCACUUCACUAUACUCACCUUCACUAUUCAUUAUGUCCUUGCUCCUUCUCCUCUCCUUGCUCCUUCCUUCCUUUCUUUUGUUCAUUAUUUUUCUUUUGUCUUUUUUUAGAUUUCUAUUACAGUCAGUGUUGUGCUGAACAUCUUUAUUAAUAGCUCCUUGUGUGCAUGUGAGAGGAUAUCUAUAUUUUAAUGCUGAGUUUAGGGAAUAAACAUUUUUAACUUUACAAAGUAAUGGAAAAUUGCUCUCCAAAAUGUUUCUGAUUUCUGCUUUCACCAUAACCUCUCCAACUCUAAGUAUUGACAGGCUUUUAAGUUGUUGAUAAAAGACAAGAGUAAAAAGGUAUUUAUGUGCUACUUUAAUUUUAUUUUUUAAAAGUAAAGUUUAAUGUAUCUUCAUAUUCUUAUUGUCCAAUCAGGUUUUAUUUUCUCUAAUUUUUUUCCUUUGUGCUCUCUCAGCAAUUUUUAAACUAUAAUGCUAUUUUUAAUGAUUUGUUGUAGCUUAUUAUAUAUCUGAAUAGAAAUGAUUCACUGAGUAGGCAUAUAUUUUCCCCUACUCUAUUGCAUGUCUUUUAUCCAUGUUUAUAGUGUUUGGAUUUUGUUUUGUACUGUUUUUUUGUUUUUCACUUAUAUUGAGAGAACAAUGGUUUUGCUAAUUUAAUAUUGGAAUAUGGUAUGUAUCACAUAAUAUAUUUUCUGGUGUUGAACAGUUCUUACUUUCAUGGGAUAAAUUCUCUGUAGUUAUGUAUGUAUAUGUAUACAUACACAUGUGCAUAUUUACAUUUAUUUGGCUUACUCUUAUUUUAUUUAGAAUUUUUGCAUCUAAAUUCUUAAGCGGGACCAGUGUAUACAUUUCCUUGUUCAUACUCUCUAGUAUCAGUUUGACUCUCAAUUAUCAAUUAUAGCAUUACUCAAUGUUUCUAUUUCUUAUUAUAUUGAUUUCAGUAUGUUACAUUUUUCUAGGAAAUUGACCAUUUCAUUUGAUUUUGUAAAUCAAUUAUCAGGUAGUUGUUUAGUAUAUGCUCUUAGUUUAAUGUUUCUUCUAUUGUUAGAGAUAACAUCCCUUCAUUUUUAAAGUUUCUAAUUAGUUUCUUUUUUCUUGAUUAAUAGUUAAUAAAUAAUAUUUUGAUCAGUGUAGACUUUAUUAUUACCAGAUUGAAUUUUUGAAAUUUCUAUGGUUUAACCUAAUAAUUUUUAUUUGUCUUUUUAAAGAACCAAUUUUAGCUCUAUUAUGUAUUUGUUCUAUAUGAAUAAUUUUUGUUCUAAUCUUUAUUAUUUAUUUCUUCAUUUAUUUGGCUUAUUCUGCUAUUAUUUUUUAACUCACUAAGAUAGAUCCUUAACUAAUUAAUUUUACAACUCUAAUAUCAUAUAUAUAUAUGCAUUAAAGGCCAUAAAUUUUCCUCUAAGUAUCAGUUUAGCUACAUCCCACAGAUUUUGAUAUGUAAUGUUUUCAUUGUUGUUUAGUUUUAAAUAUUUAGUAUUUCCAUUACUAUUUUUCUUUUGACUCAUAGAUUAUUUAUAACCAUGAUUUUUAGUUUCCAAAUGUAUAUAGGUUAGGCUUUCUUAUUGUCUUAAGGUCUGAUUUUAUUGCACUGUCUUUAGAUAACAUGAUUUGUAUGAUAUGAAUUCUUUGGUAUUUAUUGAGUCUUCUUUUAUGGAUCAAUAAUUGUUGAAUUUUAUAAAUACUAUGCAAUAGCUUGAAAAGAAUAUGUAGUUCUUAAGGGGCAAAGUUUCUACACAUAAGUUUGUUCAAAAUUAUUAAUUAUAUUGUUUAAAUUUUCUUUAUAUUUACUAAUUUUAUUUUUUCUCACCUCUUUUCUGCCUCAUAAUUUGCUCUUUUAGUUUAUUCAGUGUUCUGCUAGAAUUUCAUGUUCUUAGAAUGCCUGUCAAUAUUCUGUGAAAAUAUCUGCUUCUGCAUAUCUUUAGUCUCCUUUUCCAUAUCUUGCUUUUUCUUAUAGCAGUAAUAGUACUGGAUGUUAUAUUUUAUAUUCAUAUGCUUACCAUCUCCUUUAGAAAAACAUAAACUAAAGAUAGAUACUAUGUUUGCUCAUUGCUAUAUGUUCUUGCUAUAAGAUAGUAUCUGUGUAAAAAAGGCAUUCAAUAUAUAAUUGUCAAAUGAAUGAACAACAGAAUAACUGUUUUUGAUGCUAUGGUGAGCUCAUUUUCAGUUGAAGGAAGUUGUUUUCUCUGAGACUUCUGAUGACUCUUACAGUGAUUUAGCAUUUCUUUCUAUGCCAUGACUUAAGAUCUGCACACAUAAGAGUCUAAGGAAAUCUUGAUUGUCUUUGUGUUAAUUUUUAAACAGGAUUGUCUGUCCCCAAACUAUAGUAUAAAUGCUAAUUUCUAAAGUGUCCGUGGAACAUAUCUGGGUUUCAUAUUCCUUCUAUGUUUUUGUUUUUUUUUUACCACCCAAAACCCUAAGAAGGAUUUAAGUUUUCUUAUUGCUUCUUCAUGCCAGUCUAUAGUUUUCUUCUACUCCUAAUCUUAUGAGUGGUGCAUCCAUUAAUAAGCCUUUCUCAGAUGCUGCUCCAUUCCUUUCAUUGGCUUUAGGUCUUGUCUGUUUUCCACAUUGUUGUUAAUACUCUGCAUAUCAUCUUUAAUAUGUGGGUAGAUGUGUGUAUGAUACCCUAGAGUCCAGCAAGUCUUGAUCUCUACUCUGGUCUCUAGCUUUGAGUAAUCUUCUCUUUUCUGACGCUGAAAUAUUUCCUUUUCUAUUUUUCAUUCUAAUUUGGCUCAGUUUUUAGUUACCAAAAUUAUUCUAAGUACCUGUGCAUUUGGAGUAAAAGAGAAAUAAAAUUAUAUCAAUAGAAUCUGCCAUAUGCUAAAAUUAUUAGCAUUUCAGAAUAGCCUGUACUUACUUCUAGUAUAUCCAAUAGAAUCCUUACAUGAGUCUUUAUUAAGGUUGUUUAUAGUAUGGUAGUGCCCUUAUAUAAGAUACACAGUAAGAUUAUUAAUGUGUCUAGAACUUGACAUGGAUCAUAUUCUCCUAAUUCUUCAUUAACAUCAUGCCGUGAGUGUGUGUGUGUGUAUGUGUGUGUGUUUGUAGUGAGAGGGAGAGAAAGAGAGGUUAAAGAGUUUAGGUGGAAAAAGAUAUUAUUAGAAUAUUAUGAAGAAACGGAUCGUUUAGGAGAGGAGGGGAGAUGGGGAGAACAUGGGGAGUGGGUGAGAUUGCAUUGAUAAGACAGCUUGUACCUAAACAAGACAAAUCUUUGGCAAGGUUGGUUUAAUUCUUUUCAGUGAGGCAGAUGAACUGUAUCGGGGCAAAUAAAUUAUUCUAAUUCCAAUCUGCUUUUCCCUUCAACUCUUUGGACCUGAUUUCUUUUUCACAUGUAGCUAAACUGGUGCUUUUUGCUGAUACCUGAGUGAAGUUGAGCGGUUUGCCCUUAUACUCAAUUUUUGACACUUUAUGAUUUGUGCCAUACUCAUGUCUACAGGGUAAAAUUGCUCCCUCUGAGUACAGAGUAAGUGACUGUAAGCUUGAUUAUGUGUGAAAGCUCCUAUUCUAUCAUGUGAUAUUAACAGGAACCCAGUAUCAGCAAACCUUGUUCUUUUGGAACUGCUUUUCUUCAAUAUUCUCUAUAUGUAGCAGGGUCAUAGGUAAUAAAGGUAUUCAAGUCUCACAAGUGAUAUGUGAACACUUCAUCCUCUUUUGCAAAUAUUGCAAUAUUUUGUGAUUCUCCUUCAUAUCAAAAAAGAAAGAAUCCAAUUAUUUCUUUAAUGAAUCAGAUACUUUAUGGAGCUUUUGAAAAUGUUAUUUUUCAGAUAGAUUCAACAAUCUUACUCUAUUGUGUAAUUUAGUGGUAAGCUUUCCACAUUCAUCUUACCUUGGAAGGUCAAGCAUUUUAUGACCUCAAAAAGCCUGAUCCUUGUUUUGUAUAGACAAUUACCUAAAUGUUCCCAUUAUUUAGAAUGGGUAUUUCAACCAUCUCAAGGUUUACUUUUACUAGAAUUCUCAAGUGUUUUCAUUUAUUGAAUACUGAAUCCAGUUGAAGCAGCCUUUAUAAUACUGUCUAAAAUCUUAUAUUUUUUUAUUUUGAAAUUCGUAGUUGUAUGACAUGCUGAUGUAACUUAAUGGUAAACUUUAAAUUUAGACAUUACAGCUUUCGAAUUUGUGCAAAAGCCUAUUUGAAGCUUAAAAAAUAUUUUGACACCUUAGGUUCUAGAGAUUUAUGUAGCCAGAACAGAUAAAGCAGGAUUGUAUGUCAGGAAGGUAGAGUACAAUUUAUUGGUUAUCACAAAUAGAAGGGCUGAUAAUGUAAUGAAAACUGAUUGGUGGUAGAAUUUAUUAUAGCAACUAUAAUACAGAGAAUAGAAUGUAGAAUGUUACUAAUUAAUAAGUAAUGCAUCUCAUGACAAUGUGGAUCAAUAUACUAUCAUUCAGAAUUUUUACCAAGAUUUAUUUAAUUAUGUAGCUAUUUUGGUGUUAGAAUAUAAUUUUGAGAAGCAUCAAUUGAGUUUAAAGUACUUUUUGAGGUGAUAAUAAACCAGAAUCAGGUAAAGGAGUAUUUAUUACUUUGAAUAUAUGAAGAUAGUUUCUAAUUUGGAAAUUUAUAAGACCUACAAGAUUUUGAGGAAGAAACAAUUCUUAUAAUGAAUGUAAUGAAAAAGUAGCUUAAAAUUGCUUGACAAUAUCUUCAAUAAAAUACUGGAAGAGAAAUCCAUAAGCAUCUUGAAGACAGAAGAAUCAUGAGCAAUGAACAAGAUGAGUUUAUUAAAAACAAAUCAUGUCUGACAAAAUUAAUAGUUAUUUAAAAUAGAAUUGCAGAAUUAGCAUGGAUAAAAGGUAUGCAUUUUUAACUUCAACUAAGUAAUUGUAGCUUUUCAAAAAUAAUUUUUUAAAUUAGGAUACAAAUAAUCUAAUAGAUUGAAUAUUUAUGGAAAGAUAAGGAAUCUACUUAAGGUCAAAAUGUAGUGCCAGAAUAUCCCCAAAUUGGGAUUAGUUGGCUGUGACAAAGGCGACCUGAGGAGUCUGAGUCCCUCAUAAUCUCCACUGACUCCCCCAGAUGCUCAUACAAUUCAUGUAAAAGCAACAUGCAUGUCACAUAGUGACUUCUAAUAUAAAUCCUCCUAAUGCCCCUUAUAUUCAUAUUUUGUUGCUGUGUUUGCCCUAAAUAGAAAUUCCACAGGAUUUAUUGAUGGAUUUAUAUCAAGGGUCAACAGAUCUGUCUUACCCUCUGUUUUGUUUUGUUUUAUUGAGAUAUAGUUGACAUAAAAUGUUAUAUUAGUUUCAAGGGUAUAACAUAAUUUUUCAAUAUAGGUAUAUAUUGCAAAAUUAUCAUCAUAAUAAGUUUAAUUAAUGCCCAUCGCCCCACAUAAUAAUAAUCGAUUUUCUUGUGAUGAUUACUUUUAAGAUAUAUACUAUUGGCAACUUUCAAAUAUACUAUACAGUAAUAUUAACUAUGUAGUCAAUAUGAUGUACAUUACAUCCCUAAGACUUAUUUAUUUUAAAACUGGAAGUUUGUCAAUAUCUGAUGUACAGCAAAGUGACUCAGUUACACAUAUACAUACAUUCUUUUUCUCACAUUACCCUCCAUCAUGUUCCAUCACAUGUGAUUAGAUAUAGUUCACUGUACUGUGCAGCAGGAUCUCAUUGCUUAUCCACUCUAACUGCAAAAGUUUGCAUCUACCAACCCCCAACUCCCAGUCUAUCCCACUCAUUUCCACCCCCCCCACCUUGGCCACCACAAGUCUGUUCUCUGUGUCCCUGAGUUUGUAAA
rnacentral:lncRNA from 1 species